CCAUGCCUUUGUGAGGUGAGGCUCCUGCGUGGAUAUACGCCGCUGCCCCGAAAUGUCGAGAGACGCCAAGGGGUUGAACAGGCAGAUUCGGAUUAAGGAUCUGCAUAACGCGGCUCAAGCGAAACCCUGAGAGGUUUCCAAACGCCCCGCAGUGCUAAAACCGCAACGAGGAAGGCCUGU
rnacentral:sRNA from 2 species